AUUGAACGCUGGCGGCAGGCUUAACACAUGCAAGUCGAACGAGUGGCGGACGGGUGAGUAAUGUAUGGGAAUCUGGCUAAUGGAGGGGGAUAACUACGGGAAACUGUCGCUAAUACCGCGUACCAUUGGAGGAGCCCAAGUGGGAUUAGGUAGUUGGUGUGGUAAAGGCUCACCAAGACGACGAUCCCUAGCUGGUCUGAGAGGAUGACCAGCCACCCUGGGACUGCGACACGGCCCAGACUCCUACGGGAGGCAGCAGUGGGGAAUAUUGCACAAUGGGGGCAACCUGACGCAGCCAUGCCGCGUGAAUGAAGAAGGCCUUAGGGUUGUAAAGUACUUUCGGUAGCGAGGCGUUAUCUACAGAAGAAGCACCGGCUAACUCCGUGCCAGCAGCCGCGGUAAUUC
rnacentral:rRNA from 1 species